UUGCGAAAAUCAUUGCAAAAAACUAGAAUUGCAAAACAGAAUUUUUGAGUACAUAUUCAGGAAUAUCUAUAAUGUGCCCUAUCAAGGAAUGAACAAUUAGAAAAUGAAAUACAAAAUCCACUCAAUUAAAUAUCUGUAGGGAAACAAUGGCCUUUGGGAAACAGAUAGAACUUAGGAAAUUGAACUGUUUGUCACAGGAAUGGAACUGGGAAUAAAAUUAUAAUCCAGAAGAUUGUCCUACAUCUCAUGUUCCUAGAUCUUUUCUACACAUGCGAAACCCGUAAUAACUUUCUCCAUUCAGAGCAUGUAACCACUAAUAAAGCAAAGAGAACUGUCUAGCUUUAGAGUGAUGUUCUACAUAAAUGUGUCCACUGUGUCAAAGGAGACACACCUGGAAAGGUCACCUUAGAAUCUGGUCAAUAUAAAGAAAGCUCUUUAGCAGGUAGGCCAUGGCAGUUCUCAGUGACAUCAUCAUUAGGCUGGCCCUGAAAAAUCUCUUGUAUACUGGAGAUCCCUAGCUUCUCCUGUGAUGUCACAGUGUUUUCCAGACUGCAACUGCCUCUCAGACAUUCAUUCAGUACCUCUAGGGUUUAUUAAUUGGCCUUUAUUUCAGUGUAAACAGCUAUUUGUGAGGAAGAUCAAAGAAGAUGUAGAUAUCAGAGAUGGGGAGAAGGAAGUUGGCCUAGGAAGUUUUAGUUUAAAAAACGAAGAAAUAUGUGGUACAUGGGAAAGCACAAGGAGUGCUGUGUAGGGGUUGUGAGGGUUCACUGAACACAUAGCCUUGAUCUGAGCCUUCCCCAUAUGGGAUUCAGGAGGUGGGAGCCUCUCGGUAGCAUCUGGAUUUCAUUGCUUGUUAUGGUUCCUGGAAGUCAGAAGUUGUUUAUCAUUAAUUUCUUUAUUCCAAAAGUCAGGUAUUCGGAAGUUUACAGUUGUUUUUCUGAGAGCUAAUGGCUUUCAUUCUUUUUCCCCAGGAAAAAUAGUCCUGAGGAAGGAGGGACAACAAGUAUUGUAUCGUCAUGUCAUCUCAAGAAAAACUCUCAAAACUCAUCCUGGCUGACAAUGUAGAUUAGACGCAUCAGAUGAAAUGAAUUGAAAAACUCUCCUGGGAAUGAAAGUGGUAAGGAAAUCACAUUGAUGUAUCCUAAAUGCAGUGCUAAGAGCAAUAUUCAGACUAGUCUGUGGAGAUGCUGCUGUCAUCAGAGACCACAGACAAUUAGUGGAGAAUGAUUCAGCAUUAAACUGGGAAUGGAAGAUGAUGGUUGAUAUUGUUCUAGUAGAUCUCACUACAUUAAAAAGUGUUUCUUCCAGAUAACUGAAUGAUUAUUGUAAAGCAAAUCCCGGAAUGAACUUAUGAGACCCACCAUCAGCCUGUCAAAUAAUGUGCGAAAGAAGAAAUCUGUGUCUCUCCAGGGACAAAUUGUUGCUUUCAAACCAACAGUAAAGUGUCCAUUCUAUGAAUGAUACAUUGAUAUAUACACAUUAUAGAAGGAUGGAUACAGAGUUUCUUCAGGUCCAUGAAUGAGGUAUUCAGCAGUUGACCUGGAGUAGCAAUGAGGGUAAUUUUUGCCAACUCUUCAGACUUGAGCUCCUUCACUAGGAUCCCCAUGAUUGAAGAAAAGAACAAACUUCAGACAAUUUGUCUCAGAUUUUUAUGUAGUUAAGAUUUCCUGGUCUUGGACCUAGGAAGGAAGGAUAUCUUGCUUUCCAAUUCUUGUUUAUCCUAUAAUCCUCUCUGCUGCAUUCAUGCAAAUAGAUUACUGUGCAUUUCUUUAAUAGGUUACAAUUGCUAUUUUAAUUAUGUUGCCAAGAACUAUAGAAAAAAAGAAGGACUGUAUCAAAGCAUCAUAUGAAAAUACGACUAAGGUAAUGUGGCCAUUGGAAAUUUGUAACUGACCUGAAACUCUUACUAGAGACAAAAUGCCAUAAAAGGUCUUCUCUAGAUAUCUGGUGUAGUAGUUGGUGUUCCCCAACAGACAGUAAAGGAUGAAUCUCUCUGUACAGAGAAAUCGGACUAGUCACAAUGAUCACAGACUAUGGAACACAUAAUUUAACAAUGACUGACUAUUUUUAAAGUCCUAGAAUCCAUUAGUUUAUUAGUCCAAAAGGAAAGAUGUCUUAUCUGGUCAUUGACAUAUGGAUAAAUAUUCAGUAUGCAGGUUCUAAUGUCUAUGAGGAUUUGGUAUCACUGUGAGUGCAAAAAUGAAAAAGUAAAGGCUUCUUUCUUCCAUGUUUUCUACGGGGAUUCAAAUAGAAUGCAUGGUUUAGAAUACAUUGGGUUUGCCAUUCUCAAACAGACCAAUAUCUUCAACUGAACAUUCUUUUCUUGGAAGCUGCACCCUGUCAGCAUGGCUCACGUGUAUGUGAACUGCAAGAUCUAGUCUGGGAAGGCGGUCCUGUUCAUCGAUCCAACCUGCCCCUAAUACUGAAAUACCCAAGACUUCCUCAAUCAACUCCUUUGCAAACAUGGUCUUCUGGGAUUUGAAGACAUUACAUCUACUAACAACACCAAUGCAAUUCAAGAUUACUUUCAACAGCUCCCUGGAGUGAGAAUUGUUCCUUGGGUCCUUAUAUGUAGAGAAAGACUGCAUAGGCAGACACAGUGAUCUAAUCUACCUGCAACAGAAUGAAGAGAUGAUGAUGUGGCUGAAGCAGAUUGGAGCUCUGCAUUUAUUAAAGGGAUGGCAGUAAAAGCCCAUGCUGACAGCAGACAUUCAGACAUGCUGAAGCCAUGAUGAGACUUGAUGUUUGUCACAGAUGAUGUCAGUAUUUUCUUAUGACUGGGAUUUUCAACAAAUUGGCUUUCAUUCUAUUCCUCAUUCCAAAAAAUCUGUUGCUGUAGGCCUCAAACCAUGGGGUAGGGAAACUUAAGAGACAACAGAGGUUUGAUAAUCCAGUCUUCAUUCACUGACUUGUCUCUACCUCUAAGUCCAUGUUUCACAAUCCAGUGCAUUUAAAUCUCCAGGGAAUCAGUUACUGUUUCUCUACCAUGCUGGUCUGCUGAAGUCAUUUUACAGAAGUCCACUUCCAAGUAAUUAUUAAAGCAAUGAAUAUUUUGAAGUUGUUUAUGAUCUACACACAGGCUUUUUACGCCCCAAGCAUGUACCAUCCCACUUCUGCAUUUGCAGCUCUCAGCCAGUGUUCUCGACCUAUCCAUCCAGCAACCCUUAGAUUCCACACUUUGUAUGAGGAUAAUAUUUGAAAAAACAGAAGAAUAGCUGUAGCAUAGUUGUUCUUCUCUGUAGCCAUAUUAACACAGACGGCAGAGCAUAUGAUGCAUUCAUCUCUGUUUGUAGUGUUUAAUUCCCCGUAAAGUCCCAAACAAUUGAGAGUUGAUUCUGUCAGAGUACCAGCAAAGUCAAAAAGGAAAUGCAAAAUUUCAGAAUUCUCCUUCCAAAGAUGUUUUGAAAGAAGUUGUUUGCAAAACACUGUCUUAAUAAAUUUAUUCCAUUCUCACUUUGAU